GUAGGGGGCAAGCGUUGUCCGGAUUUAUUGGGCGUAAAGAGCGUGUAGGCGGCCAGAUAGGUCAGCUGUGAAAACUCGAGGCUCAACCUCGAGACGUCGGUUGAAACCAUCUGGCUAGAGUCCGGAAGAGGAGAGUGGAAUUCCCGGUGUAGCGGUGAAAUGCGCAGAUAUCGGGAAGAACACCCGUGGCGAAGGCGGCUCUCUGGGACGGUACUGACGCUGAGACGCGAAAGCGUGGGGAGCGAACAGGAUUAGAUACCCUGGUAGUCCACGCCGUAAACGAUGGGUGCUAGGCGUGGGGGGUGUCGACUCCCCCGUGCCGAAGCCAACGCAUUAAGCACCCCGCCUGGGGAGUACGGCCGCAAGGCUA
rnacentral:rRNA from 1 species